CUUAGUGAAUCGGCUCUGACGCUCUUUGCGUCCGUGGGAUCAACUCCACCUUAGAGAUCUUCCAGAUCCGCAACUACAAGCUCUCGAGUGGGAACAGGAUCUCCUACUGCUGAUAGGUAUGCAAUCGAAGAAUCUGGCGAGAUAUGGAGAGGAUAUGCUCGAACCGGACCGCAUCUCCAUUUGCACAUGGAUAAUGUGCUGCCCCUUUCUUUUCUUCCAAACUCGGUCGAAUACGUCGUUAACCUUUGUGGUGGAUCGACGAGAGUGCGCCUAGCCAGGAGUGUGGUUGGUGUCACCUCCCGUGCGCUAGCUCUGCCUUUGCCGGAUCUUUAUUCGCCCACUCCUUCACAGAGCGAUGACUAAGAGCCGGGAAUUCAGAAUUCUCUUAGUAGAGCCUGAAAGUAGCCCUUGGAUCGAUUCCUACCACGGACGGGUAUACAUUUCAUCCAUAUCGCCGGCCUCACAUGGACG
rnacentral:lncRNA from 1 species